UACGUAGGGGGCUAGCGUUGUCCGGAAUCAUUGGGCGUAAAGGGCGUGUAGGCGGUUUGUUAAGUCAUGUGUGAAAGCCCCCGGCUCAACCGGGGAACGACGCAUGAAACUGGCAAGCUAGAGUACCGAAGAGGGGGGUGGAAUUCCCGGUGUAGCGGUGAAAUGCGCAGAUAUCAGGAGGAGCACCGGUGGCGAAGGCGGAUCUCUGGGCCUUACCUGACGCUGAGGCGCGAAAGCUAGGGGAGCAAACAGG
rnacentral:rRNA from 1 species